AAACCUUUUUCAUCUAUCAAAUCUGACAAAGGGACUCAUUUUUCUUCACUUUUCUCAAUCGUGUUGCUAAAUUUGUCGUGGUAACAUGGAUGUGUGAUAGUUCUUGGUAGCGUGGAUGAAAUCGUGGAGGUGUGAUUGUUCUGGUGUUCCUUAACCUGCAUUUCUGAAUCAGUAACCUGCAUAACUUGAAGGGGCAUAGAGCAACAAUCAUGGAUCUUUUAUCACAAGUGAAGUAUAGAAUGUGUGCAAUAUACAUCCUUGCUAAUUGGGCAAACCAUUGGAGAUGUUUGGAAAGAAGGAAUCAAUUCUGGAAAUGUUCAAGAAGCACCUUUGAGGGAUAAUUGAAGGCAUAUCUAGCCCAAAUGACAUUUCUACGUAACAAAAAUAUUGUUCAAGAUUUACUUUACUUCAAUGUACAAUCUUGGUGUAAAAUGUACUUUAGGACUGAUGUUAAGUGUGAUAUUAUAGAUAACAAUAUGGAUGAAAACUUUAAUUCUUGGAUCUUAA